CCCGCGCCCGGCCCGCCGCCCCCGCCCCCCUACGGGAGGCAGCAGUGGGGAAUUUUGGACAAUGGGCGCAAGCCUGAUCCAGCAAUGCCGCGUGCAGGAAGAAGGCCUUCGGGUUGUAAACUGCUUUUGUCAGGGAAGAAAUCUUCUGGGCUAAUACCCCGGGAGGAUGACGGUACCUGAAGAAUAAGCACCGGCUAAUUACGUGCCAGCAGCCGCGGUAAUACGUAGGGUGCGAGCGUUUAUCGGAAUUACUGGGCGUAAAGCGUGCGCCGGCGGCUUUGCAAGACAGAUGUGAAAUCCCCGGGCUCAACCUGGGAACUGCAUUUGUGACUGCAAGGCUAGAGUACGGCAGAGGGGGAUGGAAUUCCGCGUGUAGCAGUGAAAUGCGUAGAUAUGCGGAGGAACACCAAUGGCGAAGGCAAUCCCCUGGGCCUGUACUGACGCUCAUGCACGAAAGCGUGGGGAGCAAACAGGAUUAGAUACCCUGGUCGU
rnacentral:rRNA from 1 species